rnacentral:rRNA from 1 species
AGCGAACCGGGAAGAGCUCAAAUUUGAAAUCUGGCGUCCCACGGGCGUCCGAGUUGUAAUCUGCAGAGGCGUCUUCCGCCCCGGACCGCGUCCAAGUCCCUUGGAACAGGGUAUCAAAGAGGGUGACAAUCCCGUGCUUGACGCGACCCCCGGUGCUAUGUGAUGCGACCUCAAAGAGUCGAGUUGUUUGGGAAUGCAGCUCAAAACGGGUGGUAAAUUCCAUCUAAGGCUAAAUAUUGGCGAGAGACCGAUAGCGAACAAGUACCGUGAGGGAAAGAUGAAAAGCACUUUGGAAAGAGAGUUAAACAGUACGUGAAAUUGUUGGAAGGGAAACGAUUGAAGUCAGUCGUGUCCGAGGGGUUCAGCCGGUCCUGCYGGUGCACUCCCCUCGGACGGGUCAACAUCGGUUCUGUCCGGCGGACAAGGGCAGGGGGAACGUGACACCCUCGUGGUGUGUUAUAGCCCCCCGUCGCAUACGUCGGUCGGGACCGAGGAUCGCAGCUCGCCCUCACGGGCCGGGGUUCGCCCACGUCCGAGCUUAGG